GUCCUUGUCGAUUAGUGGUUAAAUCAUCGCAUUGUGGCUGCGAAGCCGGAAGUUCGAAUCCUCCCUGGGACA
rnacentral:tRNA from 1 species